AUGCUGGACGAGCACGACGAGGAAGAGGGAGAAUGGCUAUCUUGUCCGACGUCUCCGGGCGGCGAGCCUCCUGGGCCAUGCCUGGGCGCCGGGUGGCUCCCGCCGACGAUGUCCCCUUGCACAUGGAAGGCGGCAGCGGCGACGGCGGCCCAGCAGCAGGAACCGCCACAAGACCAAGAAGAAUAUCCGGAGUUAUCGGAACCGUAUCCUUACGAGGAGCGGACGCUGUACGCACCACGGCUUGACCCGGCGGCGCGGCAGCACCUCCAGACGAGCCUAGCCACGUCGGCCGCCGAGGACACGCUGCACCACUACAACGCCGACGCCAGCAACAAGCCAAGGCAUGUCAACUUCUUCGCUAGGGCCAUGACGAACUCCACGGAAGAGGAAGAGCUCUUCUUCUUCGCCGAGUUGCAUGAUCAGUACAGGCGUGGCCCUGGUGGAGCCAGGAUACGGACUCCGACUUGCCUGUGCUUGCUGGACGGAGAAGGAGACGAUCAGGUCGGCGGUCUCGCCGGCAACUGGUUUGCCAAAGCUCGACCGUGGCUCGUGCCGGUGGAUUACUGCCUCGCGUGUGACGAUGAGAUGAAGCAUCCCAAGGACGGCCACCUCUCGCCUCCUCUUCCUCUCACCCAUGAAGUCCUCGCCGCCGCCACCACCCACGCCGGCCGCUUCCGGCGAGCUCCGGCGCCGCGCAGCACGCCCCCAAGCUCACCAUGGUCCGCGCCUCCCUCCCCUCCGUCCAGAUUCUCCGCUCCCGGCCUCUACCACCCACUCGCAACCCCACCCCCGUGGCUAGGGUUUCUGGCAAGGGUUCGCCGGCGCGUCUCCGGCGGCACUAGGUUCGUCCCUCCCUCUAUCUUGGCCGGGAUAUGCCACCUCUACACCUCACCUUCUCUUCAUAUCCUCUGCUGCAGAUGCAGAUGUAGCACACCAUGGGAGUUUCCCAUCCACCACGGUGGCAGCUUCUUCAUGGGAGAUGUGAUGCAAAAGAAGCACAAUAGUUCAGUGAUGAUUAGCUUUGCUUUUUCCCAGUUGAGAAUUUGA
rnacentral:rRNA from 1 species